rnacentral:miRNA from 1 species
AUGGAGCAAUAGCUUCCCCAAGA